UACAGAGGUGGCAAGCGUUGUUCGGAAUUACUGGGCGUAAAGGGCGCGUAGGCGGCCAUCUAAGUCAGACGUGAAAUCCCCCGGCUUAACCUGGGAACUGCGUCUGAUACUGGAAGGCUUGAGUAUGGGAGAGGGAUGUAGAAUUCCAGGUGUAGCGGUGAAAUGCGUAGAUAUCUGGAGGAAUACCGGUGGCGAAGGCGGGUCUCUGGACAGUUCCUGACGCUGAGGCACGAAGGUCAGGGGAGCAAACGGG
rnacentral:rRNA from 1 species